UCACCUUCUGGGGGAAAUUCAGGGGUGCGAAAUCCCAGCUGUGGGGUCAGAUCUGUAAAAAAUCCACCCAAAUCUGGGUCCUGAGAAAGCAGAGGUUGGGGUUGGGUGUUGGGAUGGAAUUCCCAGAGGAACCCACGGAUUUCUCUACAGAAUUCUCUGUUUUGGGCCUUUUUUAAUCUUUAUUUUUCAUCUUUCGAGGGUGAUUCGGGGUGGAAAAUCCCAGAUGUGGGGUGGGAGUGGGAAGGUGGAGUCAACUCAAAUCUGCAGAAAUCGCCCCAAAUCUGAGCCCUGGGCAAACCAAGCUCCAUGAGGAGGGGUUGGGGUGGAUUUUGGGGAGAAUUCCUGGACCACCCAUUCCCACCCCAAUCCCGUUGGGAUUUUGGGAGAGUUUGAAUUGAAUUCCCACCCAAUUCCCACCCCAAUCCCUGUGGGAUUUUGGGAGAGUUUGAGCUGAAUUCCCACCCAUUCCCACCCCAAUCUCUUUGGGAUUUUGGGAGUUUGGAUUGAAUUCCCACCCAUUCCCACCCCAAUCCCGUUGGGAUUUUGGGAGAGGCUGAGCUGAAUUCCCACCCCAAUCCCAUUGGGAUUUUGGGAGAGUUUGAGUUGAAUUCCCACCCAUUCCCACCCCAAUCCCUGUGGGAUUUUGGGAGAGGCAGCCGCGCCUCGAAGGAAAGGGAGCCCGGAGGGAGCUUGGCUCAUUACCCGCUUGGAGUAAUUAAAUUAAUUAACUCUGCA
rnacentral:lncRNA from 1 species